AACGCACCUUGCGCCUCUUGGUAUUCCGAGAGGCAUGCCUGUUUGAGUGUCAUGAAAUCUCAAUCCCUCGGGUUUUCCGACCUGAGGUGUAUUGGACUUGGGUGCCUGCCGGCCACGGCUCACCUCAAAUGUAUCAGUGGAUCCUCACGACCCAUGCCUGACGUGAUAAGUUUCGUCUCGGCCGGUCGUCUGGGCUGCUCACAACCCCCUAUAUCUUCUGACAUUGACCUCAAAUCAGGUAGGGCUACCCGCUGAACUUAA
rnacentral:misc_RNA from 1 species